GUGCUCACUUCAGCAGUACAUGUAUGAAAACUGGAACAAUACAUAGAAGAUUAAUAUGGCUCCUGUGCAAGGAUGACAUGCAAAUUUGUGAAGCGUUCCAUAUUUUU
ensembl:snRNA U6 U6 spliceosomal RNA